rnacentral:lncRNA from 1 species
AUUCAAACCAUGACAUUGACCAAAUCACAUUGUUAAAUUGUAUGUACAUAUGAACGUGUAAUAGUAAGUCCCACCAUUAUGUAUAAUUAUAAUAUACCAAUAAAAAAUAUGGGAAGAAUAUUAGUUUGAAUGCAGUCAGUAAAUGGUUCAGAACUACCACAGCAGGGAAAAACAUCUACAGAAUUAAAGGUAUAAAGUAUCAUUCACAAAAAACAAAGUGAAUGCAUUUUAAAUAAUCUGUCCAUAUAUUUUUGGAAAAAUCUGACUGUCAAAAAUAUGAAUAGAGGCCCAGCACAGUAGUGCAUGCCUGUAAUCUCAGUGAAUCAGAAGGCUGAGACAGGAGGAUCUCAAGGUCAAUACCAACUUAGACUCUUUCUCAAAAUAAAAAAUAAAAAGGGCUGGGGAAUGUACCUCAGUGGUAAAGUGCUCUGAGAUUAGAUCCUCAGUGUGUGUGUGUGUGUGUGUGUGUGUAUGAAUUGAUACUAAAAAAUAUUUUUGAAUUCUCUCAUUUAGUGCUAUACUAGUUUAAAUUUAUCAGAAUUUAGUUAGCCAGAUUUGUGAUUUGGUCUGUGAACUAGGUAAAGAGGAAUUUUCAUUAAUUGUUAUAAUUUUUAUAUAAAAUAAUAUAUGAUAAAACCAAAAUAAGUAUAAAAUGGAAGUACACCAAGUCACAUAACUGUCUAGCUAUAAAUACUGACUAUUAACUAUGAGCUAAAGGAAGAGGAGAAUAUAUUAUUGACACAAGAAGAGAUGGAAUACGAUGCAGGUGUCAGAAAUAGUCUUGGACAUCUAAGUACUGAAUUUUGAUAUAUGUAGGCCUAAAACCACUGAAUCGUGUUAAGUAAUAUGUGCCACUGCUUCUCCACCAGCAGCCUGCCUUGCACUUUUGGCUUAUUGGGCUCCAGCCACACUGGUGUUGUGGGUGUUUCUCAAACACAACCCCAGGAGGAGGACCUUGAACGUGUUUUUGCCACUCCCAAAGCCUUUCCUCAAGAUACCCACAUGACACGUGCAGGAAUUCAUGACUUCUUCUCCCCUCGUGUGUACUGUAUCUUCCCCUUCAGCAUUUGUUUCUACCUGAAAUGUUAAAUGUUAUACUAUUUCCUUUAUUAUCUCUGCCCCUGCUGUGAAUUACAGUGACAUGGCCUUGCUCUCCCCACAGGUUCUUCUUGCGGCAGAGGCGUGUGUGAACCCUGCACUGGUGAGCGACAAUGUCUUCAAACUCUGUUGUCACUCUUCUUACCCCUGGUGUCUGGGGCUGGUAGAGAAGCCUUAAGCCUAGGUUUCUAAGGCAAGGUUAGAAGUUACAUGGAAAGGCUUCCAUUUGGGGCAAUCAUUGGAGUGAGGUAUGAAAGGUUAUUUUAGGUGCAGAGAUCAGCAGGUACAAAUGCUUGGAGAUAAGACUGAGAUUGGAGUGUUCUAGGACUUGUAGAUGGGGACAGAAGGCAAGGGGUUCAGAGUUAGGCAUGCAGUGGUGUCCUGUGAAGUUGGGUAACUGUCUUGAGAAUGGUGGCAGCCAUGGAAUUUUUGGAGUAGAGAAGAUCUGAUUCAGGUCCUAAUAUGCUUCCCUUGGUUGCAUAAUACAGAAUGCAGUCAGGGAGAGGAACAAAGAGAGACCGUUAAGGAUACCACUUACAUUGUCCGGAUCUUACUGGUUAUGGCAGACUACAGUAGUGGAUGUGGAGAUGGAAGACACUUUUGGCUUCUGGAUUUAUUUUUAU